rnacentral:other from 1 species
CUGACCCUGCUGUGUACGUGAUGCGGACAGAUUUUUGAUCCAACACUUAUGACCCUGGGGACCUAGCUUCUGGGACAGUGUUCCAUGCCGCGCAAGCGGAAGCCAGCUGCCUGGACCGGUCCCCACCUGGCUGAGCAGGUUCAAAACUCAGCUCGCACACGGCAUGGCGGGGGCUGA